UACAGAGGUCUCAAGCGUUGUUCGGAUUCAUUGGGCGUAAAGGGUGCGUAGGUGGCGAGGUAAGUCGGAUGUGAAAUCCCGGGGCUCAACCCCGGAACUGCAUUCGAUACUGCCCUGCUAGAGUACUGGAGAGGAGAUUGGAAUUUACGGUGUAGCAGUGAAAUGCGUAGAUAUCGUAAGGAAGACCAGUGGCGAAGGCGGCUCUCUGGAACGCAACUGACGCUGAGACGCGAAAGCGUGGGGAGCAAACAGG
rnacentral:rRNA from 1 species